rnacentral:rRNA from 1 species
UACGAAGGGGGCUAGCGUUGUUCGGAAUUACUGGGCGUAAAGCGCGCGCAGGCGGUCCUCCAAGUCAGAGGUGAAAGCCCAGAGCUCAACUCUGGAAUGGCCUUUGAGACUAGAGGACUUGGGUACGGGAGAGGUGAGUGGAAUUCCGAGUGUAGAGGUGAAAUUCGUAGAUAUUCGGAAGAACACCAGUGGCGAAGGCGGCUCACUGGCCCGUUACCGACGCUGAUGCGCGAAAGCGUGGGGAGCAAACAGG